rnacentral:misc_RNA from 1 species
AAAGUCGUAACAAGGUUUCCGUAGGUGAACCUGCGGAAGGAUCAUUACUCAGUGAAUGCUCUUAUUGUUAACCCCUUGUUUACUCUCCUUCUUAUAGGCUAUGCCUAUUAGAUUACCUUCUCUUGGCCUGUUUACAGUGCCAGAUGACAAAGCUUAUUGCAGUUCCAAAAGGGAACAAAAAAGGAACACUCUCUAUUAAACUACAGUCUGAAUUAUAUUACAAUUAAUAAAAACUUUCAACAACGGAUCUCUUGGUUCCA